rnacentral:rRNA from 1 species
CACGUAGGCGGUCUUUUAAGUCAGGGGUGAAAUCCUGGAGCUCAACUCCAGAACUGCCUUUGAUACUGAGAGACUUGAGUCCGGGAGAGGUGAGUGGAACUGCGAGUGUAGAGGUGAAAUUCGUAGAUAUUCGCAAGAACACCAGUGGCGAAGGCGGCUCACUGGCCCGGUACUGACGCUGAGGUGCGAAAGCGUGGGGAGCAAACA